GGUUUUCCAGUCAUUGAAUGAACGAAAACAGUGAGAACACAGACGAAACAAUGAAGUCAAUGAAGGAGCUACUAAAUGCAGACCACUAAAUGCAUCCUGCACUCCCAGAAAGAGGAGGAGGAGGAGGAUCCCAAUAAAGGCAAAUCUUGGACCUGGCUAACGAAGGCAUGGGCCAGAUCAAACUGGCAGAGUUGUGUAACAACUGUUACAAACAACGAUCUUAAAACAUCGUUUAUGCUCAUCACUACUUGGAAAUUAUUUUACUUAUUGGACACGCCACCAGAUCGAACUGAUAAAGGCUGGCUCUGUUAUAGGAGUCAAACUGGACAUACUGGAGUCUGUGGAAGAACAAAAGGGUCCUUCGGAAAAUCCUGGCAAAUCUGGACAAAGUUUCUCACCCUCUGCCUGCCACCUUGGCUGAACAGAGGAGUAUUUUCAGUAAUAGACUUAUACAACUGCGCUACUGAAGAGUGCUAUAUGAGGUAAUUCUUACACUCCGCCAUCAUACUUUAUAAUGAGUCAACCUAUAGCUUAGGCUGCUGUUAAUCUCUGUUUACCAGAGUGCUGUUAAAAGGCUGUUCAGCUCUGUUUACCACAUCCUGCCAUCGCGGACACCCUGUGCUACCAGACUACCAUCAGUUCUUAUCUGGACGGUGUGAAUGUGCUCCCAUUACUGUAUAAUACUGCAGUAAUUAGUGCACUACUAGCUUAUCAGUGUAAACUUGGAAAUCUUGUACAUCCUAUUUUGAAGGUAGCUUUUUUUUUUAUUCUUCCUUUACUUCUCUUCUAAUAUUUGUAUACUUGUGCAUUUGUAAUGCUCCUGUGACACCGUAAUUCCCUUUGGGACCAAUGAAGUACCUAUCUAUCAAAUGUGAUCACAGUCUUCCUGUCUGCAGAUGCUCGUGCGUAGUAACAGACCAACUAUUGGGCAGCCCUACGCCUAGCAGUCAUUCAGUCACCAAAAGGCGAAGUUGUGUGUUCAUACAUUUGUGACCCAGACAUCUAUUUUCUCUCCAUUAUCGCCUAUCUACAAUUGCUUGUUGAUCAGUACGUAGAAGAUGGCAUCACAAAUGAUAUUUUAAUAUAUUUUGUUAACUAUUUCAAUAUAAUUGUUAAAUGUUGUAAUCCUAUGUAUUUUGUUUAAAUAUGUAUUCUGAGAAGGGGGUCACAGGCUUCACUGGACUGCCGAAGGAGUCAAUAGCAUAUAAAAGGUUAAGAAUCCCUUUUUACACCCAAUUUAUCAGAUGGUUGAUGUAACUUUUAGAGUUUACUAGUGCAUUCUGUUGAGAUUUCCACCAUUUAUUGAAUUAUAGCAGAUAAUAGAUAUUGAUAGCAGAUAGAUGGGGAAUUCAUCUUUGUAGCAACACAGUACAAAAGGCAAAUAUCAAGGUUUAGAAGUGCGUAACAAGAGAGGCUUUUGAAAAGGAGUAAGGUCACUUGAACUGCAGGAAUACUGCAAGAUCCAAGUGAUAAUGCACCUGGAGUACUGUCUGAAAUCCUGAGCUAAACAAGGAUAUAUUUGCAAUGAAAGGAAUGCAGAAAAGGUUUACCAGGUUGAUAUAUUACAAAGGAGAUUUACAAUAAACCACACUAUACUUAUGCAAAAUGAUAGAAGACCGGAGGGGGUGGG